GCAGUUCUGACCUGGCUUUGGGUCUUGCCUCCUUUGGCAGGUUAGGAGGACAAAUCAAAAAUUCAAGGUGUAGGGAUCUCCCUUCAUGGCUCAGUGGAAACAAAUCUGACUGGCAUGCAUGAGGACGCAGGUUUGAUCCCUGGCCUCACUCAAUGGGUUAAAGGAUCUGGUGUUGCCACGAGCUGUAAUGUAUGUUGCAGACGUGGCUCGGAUCUGGCAUUGCUGUGGCUGUGGUGUAGGCUGGCAGCACAGCUCCUUAUUCGACCCCUACACUGGAAACCUCCAUAUGCUGUGGGUGUGGCCCUAAAAAGACAAAAAAACAAAAACAAAAAAACAAGGUGUAAACCACACCGUUUUAAAUUAUAAUUCAUAAUUAUAAUUUAUCAUUUAUCAUGAGAAAGUGUUAAUUCAUGAUAAGAUAAUGGUUAAACUUAUUAUGUGCCAAGCACUGUGCUUAGUGCCUUGCAUGGAAUAUUUCAUUUAAUUCUAAUAACUUUCUGCGGUAAAUGGCAUUAUUAUCAUUAUUAGUAUUUUCAUUAUUUUGGCCACGCCCAUGGCAUGUGGAAGUUCCCGCACUGCAGUAGCUAUCCAAGCCGCUGCAGUGACAAUGCCAGAUCCUUAACCCACUGCAUCAGGGGGAGCGCCACUAUUUCCAUUUUAAAGAUGAGGCUAUGAAGGUUUAGGAGAGCUCGGCACUGGCUAGUGAAAUCAAGGGGACUGGUCUCAGCUGCAGAAUUCUGAUUGGCGUUAGAGCCGCGUGCACCCUAGGACCACUUUUCCCAGCCAAGGAGGAGAGUGGAGGGAUGAGCACCCUCCUUCCUCUUUCCUGUGUGGCCCCCUCCACACCCUGCUCUUGGCUUCUCUCAUUCAGUCCCAUCCACCCAGCUUGGGGUCACAUCCUUUGUGCUCUCUAAGGUAUGCAUGGACUACAGUGCUUGCUGGGGGGGGGCCUCUCUCAACGGAUCCGCAUUUUCACCUGACCUCAUCUUAAGACCAAGGAGCUUCAAGGACCAACCUAAGCCCCGUCUUUCAUGCAGCCUCGGAGGGUCAUUCGUGGUACAGCAGGAGUCGGGAGGCAGGGGGUUGGCCCAGGCUCAUCGACAACUAGCUGAUUUAAAGAGUAUAAUGCAUCCUGUUCUGUGCCAACGCGUCGAUUCAGCCAGUGCACUGCAUGGGAUCUGGCACAGGGUAUGGCUUUUAUUUUACAGAUUAGAAAAAAACAAACCCUAAGAGGUAAGAAGCUUGGUCAGGAUCAUGCAGGUAGUUUGUACAAGGUGAGGGCCAGGAUCUAUGUUUCUUGAUUCCCGCAGUGGAGGUCCCUCCCUAAUACUAUAGAGCAUUUAUCUGUAAGAGCCACACACCCUCAUCACAGCAGCCCAGACAGUCCGUCCUGCCUUAUGCCAAAGGCCAGGGAAACCCAAGCAGGGAGACAAACAGCAUGUUCUUAAUACCUCAGAACCACGUUCCCUGAUGGCGGGCACACUCACUCUGAGUGUGCUUGUGCACAUGCAGUUUAUCACAAGUUUCCAGAUGAUUGGUUGUACAAACCGAUCAUGUAUGUGGCAGUUGGGCAUGGAUUUUCCAGGAUUCUCAGGACCUCUGGGCUGUGGCGUUUCUUAGUGGAGAAUUAAAG
rnacentral:lncRNA from 9 species